GUGCUUCGGCAGCACAUAUACUAAAGUUGGAAUGAUACAAAGAAGAUUAGUAUGGUUUUCCCAUUAUAAAUUAUUUUCUUUUUUU